CGGGCGGCAAGGCUCCGGGCCAGCAUGGGGGCUUCGUGGUGACUGUCAAGCAAGAGCGCGGCGAGGGUCCACGCGCGGGCGAGAAGGGGUCCCACGAGGAGGAGCCCAUUUUCCUCUGGAAGCUGAGACCCCGCCCCGUGCCAGCUGCCACGCCCCUGACAGGUCCUCUGCCACUCUAAGUCCAGGCCCCGCCCACCGCACAAUGCCAGCUCUGCCCACUCUAAGGUCCCGCCCACUUCCACUCCUUGGGGGCGGCACCCUCCCCUUGGUCCUGUGGGCCCGUUCUCCAGCAGAAAACCACGCCCACCAAGCAGAGGCCACGCCCACAACCGAAGUCAACGCCAACCCUGUACUCAAACCUCG
rnacentral:lncRNA from 1 species